AGGAUGAACGCUGGCGGCGUGCUUAACACAUGCAAGUCGAACGGUGAAGGAGAGCUUGCUCUCCGGAUCAGUGGCGAACGGGUGAGUAACACGUGAGCAAUCUGCCCCUGACUCUGGGAUAAGCGUUGGAAACGACGUCUAAUACCGGAUACGAGCUGCGAAGGCAUCUUACAGCAGCUGGAAAGACUUCGGCAGGGAUGAGCUCGCGGCCGUAUCAGCUAGUGGUGAGGUAAUGGCUCACCAAGGCGUCGGACGGGUAGCCGGCCGUGAGAGGGUCGACCGGCCACACGUCGGGAACUGGACGACGACGG
rnacentral:rRNA from 1 species